GGAGGUUCCGGCUUCUCUGUGUCGUUUCUUCGGGAGUUGGCAUUGGAGUGGGCCGCCUUAAUAUGCUGUGGUGUUUCCCAGUCAAGCCUUGUGUGGAAGAUCAAAUACUAAAGAGGUAUCUUCUGUUCCUCAAGAGGGGAAGCUGUGCUGUUUUUCCGGCGUAAAAGAGUUGUGGUAACUGAGAGCCGCAACACUCCUCCUGAGGAGAGGCGAGAGCUUGAGGAGAGGCGAGAGCCGCAACACUCCUCCUGAGGAGAGGCGAGAGCUUGAGGAGAGGCGAGAGCCGCAACACUCCUCCUGAGGAGAGGCGAGAGCUUGAGGAGAGGCGAGAGCUGCAACACUCCUCCUGAGGAGAGGCGAGAGCUUGAGGAGGGGCGAGAGCCGCAACACUCCUCCUGAGGAGAGGCGAGAGCUUGAGGAGUGGGCGAGAGCUGCGACACUCCUCCUGAGGAGAGGCGAGAGCUUGAGGAGGGGCGAGAGCUGCAACACUCCUCCUGAGGAGAGGCGAGAGCUUGAGGAGGGGCGAGAGCUGCGACACUCCUCCUGAGGAGAGGCGAGAGCUUGAGGAGGGGCGAGAGCUGCAACACUUCUACUUCUUCACCGACAGAGCUGUGACACUUACCUUAAAAGCUGCAACGAUAAUACGGAGCUGUUGCCCUACCUGGGAGCGUUCCUGGUUAGGUAUUCUCAUUAGUGGAUUCUAUGGCUUCUUCACUUGCUGAGUCUCCAGUGUCUGGAUCUCCCAAGCUUCCAUGAGACUUGGGAACAGGUAAUUUUCGUGGGUUAGGUGCUGUGUGUUUUAACUGCUCGGUGCUUAAGUGGGAUAUACUCAGCAGCCCUGGGAGAACUGAGUUGCUGGUUAACCCCCCAGGGCAGUGAAGACUAAACGUAACUGGGACUCUUGGUGUCCACAUAGA
rnacentral:lncRNA from 1 species